GCGGAGGAAAAGAAACCAACAGGGAUUGCCCUAGUAACGGCGAGUGAAGCGGCAACAGCUCAAAUUUGAAAGCUGGCCUUCGGGUCCGCAUUGUAAUUUGUAGAGGAUGCUUUGGGUGAAACGCCAGUCUAAGUUCCUUGGAACAGGACGUCAUAGAGGGUGAGAAUCCCGUAUGUGACUGGAAAUGUUAACCUAUGUAAAGCUCCUUCGACGAGUCGAGUUGUUUGGGAAUGCAGCUCUAAAUGGGAGGUAAAUUUCUUCUAAAGCUAAAUAUUGGCGAGAGACCGAUAGCGCACAAGUAGAGUGAUCGAAAGAUGAAAAGCACUUUGGAAAGAGAGUUAAAAAGCACGUGAAAUUGUUGAAAGGGAAGCGCUUGCAAUCAGACUUGUUUAAACUGUUCGGCCGGUCUUCUGACCGGUUUACUCAGUUUGGACAGGCCAGCAUCAGUUUCGGCGGCCGGAUAAAGGCUCUGGGAAUGUGGCCUUCACUUCGGUGAAGGUGUUAUAGCCCAGGGUGUAAUACGGCCAGCCGGGACUGAGGUCCGCGCUUCGGCUAGGAUGCUGGCGUAAUGGUUGUAAGCGACCCGU
rnacentral:rRNA from 1 species